GAUGAACGAGGGUGGGGGGAAGAAGAAAGGAAAGUCGAGGGAAAGGACGAGAAGCUUGAUGCGCUGAGGUUAGCGGCGGACGGGUGAGUAACACGUGGAUAACCUACCUAUAAGACUGGGAUAACUUCGGGAAACCGGAGCUAAUACCGGAUAAUAUUUUGAACCGCAUGGUUCAAAAGUGAAAGACGGUCUUGCUGUCACUUAUAGAUGGAUCCGCGCUGCAUUAGCUAGUUGGUAAGGUAACGGCUGAGCAAGGCAACGAUGCAUAGCCGACCUGCGAGGGUGCUCGGCCACACUGGAACUGAGACACGGUCCAGACUCCUACGGGAGGCAGCAGUAGGGAAUCUUCCGCAAUGGGCGAAAGCCUGACGGAGCAACGCCGCGUGCGUGAUGCAGGUCUUCUGAUCGUAACUCUCUUUUUUUCGGGAAGAACAUAUGUGUAAGUCCCUCUGCACAUCUUGACGGUACCUAAUCACAAAGCCCCGGCUCCCUACGUC
rnacentral:rRNA from 1 species